rfam:Ovis aries breed Texel chromosome 3, whole genome shotgun sequence.
UCCCUGGUGGCUUAGACGGUAAAGAAUCUGCCCGCAAUGCAGGGGACCCAGGUUCGAUCCCUGGGUUGGGAA